rnacentral:rRNA from 1 species
UACAGAGGGUGCGAGCGUUGUCCGGAAUCACUGGGCGUAAAGGGCGCGUAGGUGGCCUGAUAAGUAGGGGGUGAAAUCUCGAGGCUCAACUUCGAGGCUGCCUCCUAAACUGUCAGGCUUGAGCAGAGUAGAGGCAGGUGGAAUUCCCGGUGUAGCGGUGGAAUGCGUAGAUAAUCCGAAGGAACAUCAGUGGCGAAAGCGGCUUCCUGGACCAGAACUGACGAUCAGGCACGAAAGCGUGGGGAGCAAACAGGGA